rnacentral:tRNA from 1 species
AUUUGAGUAGUUUAAUUUAAAAUUUUGAUUUGUGGUAUCAAAGAUGUAUUUAAUACUUCAGAUU